rnacentral:Y_RNA from 1 species
GGCUGGUCCGAUGGUAGUGGGUUAUCAGAACUUAUUAACAUUAGUGUCACUAAAGUGGGUAUUCAACCCGCCCUGCUAAAUUUGACUGGCUUUAA